rnacentral:rRNA from 1 species
GACGAACGCUGGCGGCGUGCCUAAUACAUGCAAGUUGAGCGAUGAAGCUUGGUGCUUGCACCAAUUUGAAGAGCAGCGAACGGGUGAGUAACGCGUGGGGAAUCUGCCUUUGAGCGGGGGACAACAUUUGGAAACGAAUGCUAAUACCGCAUAAUAACUUUAAACAUAAGUUUUAAGUUUGAAAGAUGCAAUUGCAUCACUCAAAGAUGAUCCCGCGUUGUAUUAGCUAGUUGGUGAGGUAAAGGCUCACCAAGGCGAUGAUACAUAGCCGACCUGAGAGGGUGAUCGGCCACAUUGGGACUGAGACACGGCCCAAACUCCUACGGGAGGCAGCAGUAGGGAAUCUUCGGCAAUGGACGAAAGUCUGACCGAGCAACGCCGCGUGAGUGAAGAAGGUUUUCGGAUCGUAAAACUCUGUUGGUAGAGAAGAACGUUGGUGAGAGUGGAAAGCUCAUCAAGUGACGGUAACUACCCAGAAAGGGACGGCUAACUACGUG